ensembl:lncRNA
UGUGAAUCAUAAGCAGUUAAAAUGUGCAAGUGGGCCGGGGAUUUAGGUCAGUGGUUUCGGUGCCCGCUGCACAAGUGCAAGGACCCAAGUUCGAUGCCUGGUACGAAAACAAAAGAAAAAUGUAUAACCUAAUGCAUUUAUGUUUUCAAACAAAAGGGCUUUCUGAGAGUAGAAGCCAAACAGUGAUAUCAUCUCUCAUCCUUUGCGUUUAUAUUGCCCUGCAUUGUGCACCCCACACAAUAGAGCAAGAGGAAGAAAUGAGCCUCAGUGAUGUUUGGAGGGAACACAACUGUGUUUGCCAGUGACAUGAUGGUCUGUUUCAAAAUCCCAAAACAUCUGUAUGAACACUCGGAAUUAAAAAGCUGAGUUUAGUGGGUUUAGGUGAUGAAGUUAAUAAAUGAAAACAAUCAAUCAUAGUGUUAUAUAAUAAGAAUGAAAAAUUAGACUUUGAGUAAAUAAUUCUUUAGCAUUUUAUUGAUGUGAUCACAAAUUUAUGUGAUGCUCUGUGCUAAUCCAGUAUAUUUACACAGUGUAUGAUGGUCAGGUCAUGGGAGUGAGCAUUUCCAUUUCCUUGUGGAGGCUUUGAAAAGAGGAUGAUCUGAAGAUGCUAUGGAGAUUGCUAGAAGGUUGAGUGGCUGUGGUAGGCACGUGGUCAGCUGGGUGUUUCCGGUUCCUGGGUCCUGGAGCAGCUUAGGAGGGCUGCAAGCCUGUGUCCCCCCGAUGAGCUCCAGGCCUGUGGAGUGCGCAGGAUGGUUAAAGUUUGGAACGAGUCACAGUACAUUAGGGAAAUGAGGUGGAGGAGGCCUACUGUGAGAGCCCCGUGUCAGAAAGCAAAGCAGGAGUUUCCUUGGUAGGCCAGCCUUCAGCUGAGUGUUCCUGGGUUCCUGAGGACAGAGAAGCCUUGGAGGCUGCAAGUCUCGUGUCCUCUUGAUGAUCUCCACACCUGAGGAUGGUUGAGAAUAGACAGCUGCUGAGACUGGUCAUCCAUCACUGCAUGUGCCAGAUUUCUCAUUCCUGGUGACUCCAGGCAGUUGCUGUAAGACUUAUGUCCUGUCGAUGAGCUCUGUACGUGUGGACUGUUGAUGAUGGUUAAAGUUUGGAUCGAGUCAGAGUGCUGCAUUAGGGAAAUGAGGUGGAGGAGGCCUGCCAUGAGACCCCCAUGUCAGAAAGCAAAGGUGCGUAGCAAGGGCAGCUUCCCUGGAAGUUCAUACACUCUGUGUCCUGGCCCCCAUCUUCAGAGCUUGUGUAUGUUCUUCCAGAGGUGUUUUGGACAAGACAUUUGGAAGGGUAUAAAGAUUUUAACUGAUAAAGAACUGUGUGUGAAGUACUUGAUGCUUGUGAAAGAUAAGCGUGAUUUUCAUCUUGCUGGUUUCACAAAUGACAUUAGUUUGCAUUAGUCAAGUGGAAUGAUAAUGGAAUUUCAUAUAUGGAAUCAUUAUUUGUUAAGGUAGAAACAUAUAACAGAAAGAAAACCCUUUUGUAUUUUAGUUAAAAUAAUUAUUUAGAUUUUUGUUUCCUGGAACAUUGAAAGGUAUGUAGCAUUUUUGGAAUAGGUAAAAACUUUUUAUAUUGACAAACCUGCCACCAAUUUUUUCUAAUAAUAACUUUUGAGUGUUCAUGUUAUUUUUUCACAUGAAACUAUGUAUUUCAGUAUGUGUAUUCAUUUCUCUAGAAUCAAGUAAGGUGAUUGAAAAGAGCUAGAUACCAAUAAGGAAACAUGAUGAAGAGUAAGAAGUAUAGGCUGUUGGAGGAAAGAGCCCUCCUACAUAGACAUGCAAGCUAGAGAGUCCAUCUGUAGAAACAUUCUUUAGGGUCAGCACGAACAGGAAGAGCACUGGAAUGUGAUCUUGUCUAUUAUAAGUCUUUACUUUGCACAUUUGUCUAUAUGUGUUAGUUUCUAAAUAAUUUUCUGUACAGUGGCUGCUCUUAGAGGAAGUAAAUUGAUAUGCAGUCUUUCCACUGUGAAUCACAAGUAUUAAAAUGUGCAACCGAAUGCAUUUAUGUUUUUAUAAAAAGGACUUUCUAGAAAUGGAAGGUGAACUGUGAUACCAUCUCUCUUCCUUUGCGUUUCUAUUUCCCUGCAUUGUGCACCCCACACAAUAGAGGAAGAGGAAGAAAUGAGCCUCAGUGAUGUUUGGAGGGAACACAACUGUGUUUGCCAGUGACAUGAUGGUCUGUUUCAAAAUCCCAAAACAUCUAUAUGAACAUUCAGAAUGAAAAAGCUGAGUUUAGUAGGUUUAGGUGAUGAAGUUAAUAAAUGAAAACAAUCAAUCAUAGUGUUAUAUAAUAAGAAUGAAAAAUUAGACUUUGAGUAAAUAAUUCUUUAGCAUUUUAUUGAUGUGAUCACAAAUUUAUGUGAUGCUCUGUGCUAAUCCAGUAUAUUUACACAGUGUAUGAUGGUCAGGUCAUGGGAGUGAGCAUUUCCAUUUCCUUGUGGAGGCUUUGAAAAGAGGAUGAUCUGAAGAUGCUAUGGAGAUUGCUAGAACGUAAGGAGGGUGACAGGGAGGGGCUAAUGGGGUUCAGGUAACAGCUGCACAAAUGUGUUCAGGAAGAGACAGCAAGCAACUGUGGGGUGAUGCCAGUUCAUGGGUACCUGUCAUACUUUAUGAAUAUUUCAUGAAUAUGGUAUCCGCACUUGUGGCUUGGGGUUCUCCUGCUUGUGGCCGUUGCUGGUCUUCUCCAUUAGGUUUUCCUCUUAGAGGAACAGGUUUGAAGUCUCCCUGUGGGAAGUACACUCCCCCCGUUCCCUGUUCCUUGUUCGGAGGAUGCAGGUCCACUGUCCAUCAGUGUGCAGUCCCUCUGUGGGAGGUGCUGUUGCCCAAGGACAUGGGGCCCUGACUGCAGUGCACACAGAUGAUGGAGUUAUGCUGCGAAGGGCCCUUGCUGUGCUGCUGUGCCUGGAAGGGGCCCAGCAUGAGUCUGGCCAAGAGCAGCACUCCACAGAUGUUGGCCAGAGAGAGGCAGACACACGCCCAGUGAAGCACACACCUCAGUCAUCCUGUGCACACAUGGAAGGAACACAUUCAUGCACAUGGAGGAUCCCGAGGGCCAGUCGCUGUGGUAGGCACGCCGUCAGCUGGGUGUUUCCGGUUCCUGGGCCCUGGAGCACCCUAUGAGGGCUGCAAGCCUGUGUCCCCCCGAUGAGCUCCAGGCCUGUGGAGUGCGCAGGAUGGGUGAGUUGCUGUGGCACACAUGCCUCUGCUGGCUGGGCCUGCCUUCUGGACCCCAGAGGAGCCUUGGAGGGCUGCCAGCCUUGUGUCCUCAUGACCAGCUCCGGGCUUGUGGAUGUUCAGGACAGUGGUACUGCCAUGUGAUGGAUUCCAGAGGACUACCAGGAAGACUUCUUUAUCCUAAGAUACAAUGAGAGGUGACCUUGCCAUAUGAGGGACUCCAAACACUUAGUGGGAAGAUCUGUAUCUCUUCAGAUCGCUAGAGAGGUCAGCAAGCCCUGGGACACAUCUGGAGUAUCUUCUUUUGUUUGAUGAUGGAUGGCUGAUGACAUUGGCUUUGCCAUGUGAUGGAUUGCAGGGACCUAGAGAGAAGAACUGUGUACCCGAGACCCUCAGAGAGGUCGACGUGGAUUGACCUCAUUAGGGUAGCAGUGCGUGUCUGAUGAAGAUUGCUGAGGCACAGCAUGAAGACCUGCAUAUCCCGAGAGCCCUGGGAAGCUCUGGAAACCACGGAGCUAUAUGAAGUGGCUUCUUUUGGACGGUGGAGGAUAACAUUUAUAGUGAAAUUAAAGAGAAGAUGAAGUAUGUCCGAAUUCCCUGGAAUCUUGUCGCCAAACCAGAGAAGUGCUGAUUUUGUCACUUGUACCAACUCCCUCAUCUGUGAAGGAAUAAAACAAUGUACUCCUGGGGUGAAGAUAAAGCCCAUACAGGAGGGGCAGUUGUUCAGGCACUUGAAUUAACUCCCAAAUGUUAGUUCCAGAAAAUGAGCUGACAGCAUACUUUCCAAUCAAAGUCUCCACUCCUGUGGUCUCUUGGACCCUCUUGCAGGAAAUGACUUUCUGGGAGUGACUGCCACCAGUAAAUCCUUGAAAGAAGAUUCCGCAUAAAGCUCUUCACAUACAUAUUGUCCAAGACAAACUCUCUGAAGGUGGCGAUCACAGUGGUGGUCGAGGUGAUGUGUUACAGUUGGAGCUGUUACUUCUACCACCAUCUGCACCAAAACAGUGACAGUUUUCCUUUGCUGGAGAGUCCUUCUUUCCCGUGUGGCAGUGGAUACCUUCUGCAGAUAAGAAAUGCUUAACUGAGAAAUGCUCAUGUUGGGAUGUCAUCGAUGAGACUUUAAUUUGGGCAUGGUGACUAUUUCCCUUCCUGCCACUUGACUCAAUCCCAGGAGCCUCAGUAGAGGAAAUAUUUUUGCACAAGAAGCUCAAAAUGGUGGAAUUUCUCAGUGCUCCUAUAAAUAUACAUUUACAAUUUGUAUUUGCCACAUGGGAUAAAUUUUAAAGUAGGAUAUAUUCAAAAGAAACCACAUGAUUUUUUUCAAAAAUUCAAAGCGUAUUCAAAUAAUUAAUAUAUAAAUUAAGUGCCCUGCUCUCUUUCAAUUCUAUAGUUUUCUCUAUUAAGGGAGGUGUGUGCAUUCUUUUAAUGUAUAGAUGUGCACAAGCUGUUUUUUGGAGGGGUCUAGAAGUGGGUCCAUCUUGUAAUAUAUUCUUCUGAAAAUUGCCUCCUUCAUUUACCAGUCUUUUCAAUGGGCAUUUUCUAAUAUAUACACAUCUGUGUCAUUUGGUGAGUGACUGCAUGAUUGUUUUGUAGAUGAAAUAUAAUUAAAUGUUUGAGGUAUCUCUCAUUCAUAGAUGUUUAUGUUAGCACCAAAUUUCUGUGCAGUGAACCUCCCUACAUAUCAACAAUUCUACAUUUGUCAAUGAUAUCAUAAUAAAAUUCCUUAGCAGUUGAAUUACUGGGAUUAAGGGUGGGCACACUUCAAAUUUUGAAAAUUAUUGCAAGAUUUCCUUUAAAAUGUGAUUAAUAACUUUAUCCUCGAUGGCAAUGAAUGAGGUUGCCAACUUUCUCACAACCUCACAGAUAAAUGGACUUUAUAAAUAUUUAAAAUCUUUGCCAGUGCGAUCGCCCAAACUAUUGUCUUAAAUUGUAUUUCUUUUGUUUUUAAGUUUAAUCAUUUUUUCAUAUUUAUUAGCCAUUUGUAUUUUUUAAUUUCCUCUUUAUGCCCAAUUUUGGGGGUGUGGGGAGGUUUUAGCCUCAGAUUUCAAAGAGCACAUUUAUUAUUGGUAAAAUAAGUUUUGGAUUGUCAAGCAUUACAGAUAUUUAUACACACUUUUUAACUUUGUUUUUGUUAUAAGAAUGUGUAUGAUUGUUACAUGUUCAAGUAUAACCAUGUUUGCUUUGAUAGCUUCUGAGUUUCAUGUCAUUUUUGGAAAGAUAUUUAUACUGAGUCCAUAAAACCCUUCACCUAUGUUAACUUUGAAUUCUUUUGUGUUUUUUUAAUUCAAAUUCUUAAAUCAUGAGGAAUUUUUUGUUUUGAAAUCUUAAAGCUGCCAAGUUAUUCGCCAUUACUUGCGAUUAUUUGCCAAUAAUUGCCCAUUUAUCUGUAACCAUCUUGCGCAUAUGCUGUAUUCCCAUCUGUGACUGGCUCCAUUUUUGUUCUGUGGAUCUGUGUGUCUCUUCUUCUGCCUUCUGUCUCAUGUGUCUUCUCGUUGGAAGAAAUUACAGUUUAGACUGCAAUUUCAUCAACUUUAAUAAAUUAAUUUAGGGGAGAAUUGUUUCUUUAAUAAUAUUAAGUCUUCAUACUCAAGAACAAGGUAUGUCUCGGUUUCAUUCAGUAAUUUGAAUUGUGGUUAAUAUUUUCACUUUGAUAUUGGGGUUCUUUUAAUUUAUUUGUUUGUUCAUUUUUCUGUAUCUGGAAAUUUAGUUUUGUUUUUUGGGGUCCGUGGUCACCUUACUGUUUUUCCUUGCUUUUCAGAUUUUUUUCAAAAUUCUGUAUACCAGAUUCUUUGCAAAUAUUGAUAGUUUUGAUUUCUCCCCUUCCAGUUGGUCCUGAUUUUGAUAAAGUCCACAGUCUGGUACUUUCAGAGCACUUAAACAGUUGUGGAAGUAUUACCCACCCUUGAUUUAAGUGGGUUUCAGUAGAAUGCUUCUUAGGUUUGAGCAGCACAUUUUUCCUUAUCUGUUUCCCGAAAGACCACCCAGAAGAGCUAUGACCAAGUAAAGCUGAGUCGGUAAACUUAACCGCAGCAAGGGAAAGCAGCUCCUUGACAGGACUUGGUAAUAUCUGCAAAGUGGACUAAGGGUGUGGAGGCCUGGGCUGAUGUGUCCAGGGUGCGGAACUGAUGGGAAGGGCAGAAUCCAUCAUGCAGUGCUUAGGGUUGGUGGAAAGGUGAUCUGGUUCUCAGGGGAAGUCUUGACGAGCAAGUUAAGUACUAAGUGAGCUGUUUGCUGAGGUAAGAUGCCAUCAGUGACAGAAGGCCUGUUUGCCUAGAUGAGCAAGCUGAGUGUAUUUAUCAGUUUACAGUUUUAUCUGGCUGAGCAGGACUCUGUUGGGGUGGUGUCAGUUCUUAUUCCCAAUAGGUAAGUUAUUUUAAUCAUUGAGAUAAUAAGAUCCUAACUUUAAGGUUAAGAAAUUCAGUCUGUUGCAUUACAAGGAAAGUCUUCCACUUUUUAUAUUUCUCUCAGGAACUUUAAUCACUACCAAGCAAUACAUACAAUCAAUGCUUUUUGCACAAAUAGCUGUACUAUUUGUUUUAAAAAUGUUUAUCACCAUAGAAGAAUUAAUUUUCUUUUAUUAAAACUUCUUUUUAUCCUUUGCAUGAGUAAACCCUAUUUUAUUUUCAGAGUGUUUUACUAUUUUAAUUUACUGCUGAAUUCUGGAUUUUAUUUGAACUUUUGAAAGUAUGUGGCUAGGUAAAAUUAAUCUAUAAUUUCCUUUUUGUGCAAUUUUAUCAUGUUUGAUAUCAAAUUAUCUAGUUGUGUUAAAAUGAUUUUGAGGAUUUUCUUUUUACUCUGUGCUGUAGAAUAGAUUUAUUUAUUUAUUUAAUUUAUUUUUGUGGGGUACUGGAGAUCAAACUCGGGACCUUGCACUUGUGAGGCCGGCAGCAGCACCAUUGAGCUAGAUCCCUGGCCCUAGAAUAGGUUUUAAAGCUCUAACAUUAUCAUCAGUGGUGACGUGUACACAUCAGUGAAAUCACCUGAACUCUCCCUUGUUUUUGGCUGUUUGGACUAGAAGUGAAGCUGUCUCAGAUGGACAAUUUUUCAUUCCUUUUCUAUAGUAAUUUUUUUAAUGUUUUAUGUCUUGUAUAUAACCUUUUUCUUUUACAAGGUCUAAAUCCAUGCAGAUUUUUCAAAUACAUUAGCAUGAAGUUUUGAUUAUUUCUUCCUUGCCUUUUUUUAGCCAAAUAGUUUAGUAUAUUUUUAGCAUCACUUGUCCUCCCCUCUCCAGUCAUAUUUUUCAUAUAAUUUAUCGGUUUUCUAAAAUGUCCUUAUUUAUCUGCAUAUUUCCCUGUAUUCCUGUACUUCUUUUCCUAAUAAAUCUUAAGCAUGUAUAAUCCAUUUAUUGACACUUGUUCUUGGUAAUGAAAGAUUUGUUCUGUUGUAUAAUUUAAAAACUUUUCAUUAUGAAUAAUUAUAAGCAUAAAGACUAUGAAGAGAAAAGAACAGUGAACUUGCGGAUACUGGUAACCAGGAACCCAUGUUCAACUGUGAACAUUUACCAUAUUUGCUUUAUGUUAUUAUUUUUUUUAUUUUUUAUUUUUUGGUACCG